rnacentral:rRNA from 1 species
GUGUCAGCCGCCGCGGUAAUACGUAGGGGGCAAGCGUUGUCCGGAAUUAUUGGGCGUAAAGGGCGCGCAGGCGGUGGAAAAAGUCUGAUGUAUAAGCCUAGGGCUCAACCUUAGGAGGCAUGAGAAACUAAACCACUUGAGUGCAGAAGAGGAGAGUGGAAUUCCACGUGUAGCGGUGAAAUGCGUAGAGAUGUGGAGGAACACCAGUGGCGAAGGCGACUCUCUGGGCUGUAACUGACGCUGAGGCGCGAAAGCGUGGGUAGCAAACAGGAUUAGAAACCCUAGUAGUCC